AACCCCAGAAGGCCCCUUCUGCUGUGCCUCAGAGCUCACCGCUCCUGCCCGCCCUUCCGUCUGUCGGCCUCACUUCCUGACUGGACCUGAAAGAGAAGAGGGUGGAUGAGGAAUUGAAGAACAGAAUGAAGACACAGGGGAGAUAUUGGGAGAAAACAGUGGCUAGUGUGAUCUAAUCGCUUUGCUUCAGGACUCAAACCUUUCUGGGCCUGCCAAAUGUCUCUUCGCCUGCAUACCUUCUUGACAUUAAUUUGUGAAGGAUAGCAGAUUAUAACUAUGGAUUUUUUAUUGUAUAGUUAAAGACAAGGGAAUCGGAGUUGGGUUUAUCUACUGGAACUUAUAAAACAGCCUGAUUAUAAUA